UGAAACCCUAAAACAAUGAAACACCAACUUAAAACAAUGCAGCAUUCAUUUUCUCCUAAAAGCUAAGGCGCCGUCAUCAGAUUCAUCUUCUCCAUCGAACCCUAAAAUAACGAAACCCUAAAGAUGCAGCGUUCAUCUUCUCCUAAAAGCUAAGGCGCCGUCAUCAGCUUCAUCUUCUCCAUGGAACCCUAAAAGCUGAGGCGCCGUCAUCACCUUCAUCUUCUCGAUAGAACCCAGCCUUGGCGCGUCGUUCAUCCAUCUACAACGAUCAGCCUCAUCUUCUCGAACCAGCCUUGGCGUCGUUCAUCCAGCUUCAGCGUUCAGCCUCAUCUUCUGGAACCCAGCCCUGGUCGCGGAUCUGCUCGCCUCUCUGUGUCGGGGUUCUGCUCGCCUCUCAUCCCGCAUCUGGCUCUGCUCGCCUCUCAUCCCGCAUCUGGCAUCAAGAUGUGUUUGAAUACUUUGAAUAUGUCUCAAGUUACUAGUGUGAUAUGCUUUCUAUGGCUCUAGCAAUUGAUGAAGGUUGCUUUGUGCAUUACUGUCAGUAGUAGUAUUGGAUGGAAAUGCGACACAUAAUGUUCACAUAAAUUGGCACACAUCAACUUUAUAGGCACCAAUCAGCUUUCUAUGCUAAAACAUCCUUGAUCUGGGAGCAACAUUGUGUAGUUAUGAAAUGUUACUUUAGGUGGGUAAAGGACUAGUUUGGGGUUUGGUCAAUGAUAGUUUCAAAUUUUUGUUGGUUUUGACUUUGAAACUUCAUUCUUUCCCCUGUUUCUACAUUUUGAUUUCUGUCUCCAAAGGAGAAAAGAAAGAAAUACUAAAUAGGGGUUUCUUGAGGGUGUGAGUGUGUCUGGUGCACCGUCACCUAGAACGGUCUUGGUGCAGCAGUGUAUCCUUUAUGUAUUGGAUGUUCUAUGCAACUAUGAUGCUAUCAGUCUACUAAAAUUAAGGUCUCUUCUAUAGUGGCUAACAUUUACUGAUAGACUUAAAAAAUAAAGAGUUGCCCCUACUGCAUAAAGAUCUUUUUGCAUCUGGAUUACGCAAGAGAUCCAGCGUUCUCCUGUACGAUCCUCUUGGAACUGGCAGAACAUUAUUAGCAAAAGUUGUUGCUACUGAAUUUGUUAAAAACAAGUUCAAAUGGAAGCAUGCUUGGUCAGAUGUGAGCAGCAGUAAUAUAACUAAAGAUCUUGUUACAACUUUGAAAAAAAGAAAUAUCCUCCUUGUUACAAGGACAUAUGUUUCUGGAUCAAUGAAUCAUUUACUGAAAACAAGCUGUGUGAACUUGUUAGAGGAAUUGCUGGGGAUCUUGUAGAAGAGGGCAGUGAUAAAAACAAUGGAGCUCAUAAUGGAUGAUCACACUACUCAUGAAAUUUGAUAUUUUGUAACUAAAUAUAUAAAAGAAGUCGAUAUGUGACACUUGUUGAAAUUGCAAUUUUUAUUUACUUGUUAUGAUUUUACACUUUUUGGUACUUUGUCAUCAAAGCCUACUUUUGUGGUGACAAUUUUAUAUGUAUGUCUUUUUUCAUGGAAAAGUUUAUAUUUCUUGGAUUAAGUUCAAUAUAUAUAAUUUUAGUUGGGUCUAUAAUUUUAAAAUUAUAUAUGAAUUUUGCACGAAAUAUUAGGAAGAUUAAUGAAAAAAAAAAUUUUUUGACCAAACUUAUGGGUACGCUUAAAAUGGGUGGCUAUAUCUUAACUGUGGGCUCAACAAGCACGCUUAAUAAGUGUGGCAAUAACUUGGCAAUUGGUAUGUUUUAAAAGCGUACCCAUAUCCUAAUAUAUCGGCACGUUUUCUAAGCGUAGCUGUAUACUUUCGUAGUUAUAAAUAGCCACGCUUUUAGAGCAUAGCCAUACGUUUACCCUAUUGGCACCUUUAAAAAGUGUGAC